rnacentral:rRNA from 1 species
UCGAACGGAAAGGCCCUGCUUUUGUGGGGUGCUCGAGUGGCGAACGGGUGAGUAACACGUGAGUAACCUGCCCUUGACUUUGGGAUAACUUCAGGAAACUGGGGCUAAUACCGGAUAGGAGCUCCUGCUGCAUGGUGGGGGUUGGAAAGUUUCGGCGGUUGGGGAUGGACUCGCGGCUUAUCAGCUUGUUGGUGGGGUAGUGGCUUACCAAGGCUUUGACGGGUAGCCGGCCUGAGAGGGUGACCGGCCACAUUGGGACUGAGAUACGGCCCAGACUCCUACGGGAGGCAGCAGUGGGGAAUAUUGGGCAAUGGGCGAAAGCCUGACCCAGCGACGCCGCGUGGGGGAUGAAGGUCUUCGGAUCGUAAACCCUUGUCAGGAGGGAUGAUGGGUCUGUGGGCUAAUAUCUCACAGAUUUGACAGUACCUCCAGAGGAAGCCCCGGCUAACUCCGUGC